rnacentral:rRNA from 1 species
AUUGAACGCUGGCGGCAGGCCUAACACAUGCAAGUCGAGCGGAUGAAGGGAGCUUGCUCCUGGAUUCAGCGGCGGACGGGUGAGUAAUGCCUAGGAAUCUGCCUGGUAGUGGGGGAUAACGUCCGGAAACGGGCGCUAAUACCGCAUACGUCCUGAGGGAGAAAGUGGGGGAUCUUCGGACCUCACGCUAUCAGAUGAGCCUAGGUCGGAUUAGCUAGUUGGUGGGGUAAAGGCCUACCAAGGCGACGAUCCGUAACUGGUCUGAGAGGAUGAUCAGUCACAUUGGAACUGAGACACGGUCCAGACUCCUACGGGAGGCAGCAGUGGGGAAUAUUGGACAAUGGGCGAAAGCCUGAUCCAGCCAUGCCGCGUGUGUGAAGAAGGUCUUCGGAUUGUAAAGCACUUUAAGUUGGGAGGAAGGGCAGUAAGUUAAUACCUUGCUGUUUUGACGGUACCAACAGAAUAAGCACCGGCUAACUUCGUG